rnacentral:rRNA from 1 species
GCUGGCGGCAGGCUUAACACAUGCAAGUCGAGCGGGCGUAGCAAUACGUCAGCGGCAGACGGGUGAGUAACGCGUGGGAACAUACCUUUUGGUUCGGAACAACCCAGGGAAACUUGGGCUAAUACCGGAUAAGCCCUUACGGGGAAAGAUUUAUCGCCGAAAGAUUGGCCCGCGUCUGAUUAGCUAGUUGGUGAGGUAACGGCUCACCAAGGCGACGAUCAGUAGCUGGUCUGAGAGGAUGAUCAGCCACAUUGGGACUGAGACACGGCCCAAACUCCUACGGGAGGCAGCAGUGGGGAAUAUUGGACAAUGGGCGCAAGCCUGAUCCAGCCAUGCCGCGUGAGUGAUGAAGGCCCUAGGGUUGUAAAGCUCUUUUGUGCGGGAAGAUAAUGACGGUACCGCAAGAAUAAGCCCCGGCUAACUUCGUGCCAGCAGCCGCGGUAAUACGAAGGGGGCUAGCGUUGCUCG